rnacentral:misc_RNA from 1 species
GCAGAAUGAAACCUUCAAGAAGGUAGUGUCUUUCACAUUUCAUUUUCAUGAACCUAUCACAGAGAUAAAAUUUGUUCUCAAUUGGUAAUGAGAUUUUCGUUGAAAUGUGUAUUUGGCUUGCUAAAAAUAGAAGAAACCUUCCUAAUACCCUUUUCCAACUCUCAUAUUGCCAUUUUUCAAUUGUCAUUAGCUCCUUCUUUUCCUCUCUCUUUUGGAGUUUGAAAGCAUGUUAAGUCUGCUACUUUGAUGCUUUAUCACUCAAAACAAUAUCUCUUGAAGCUGUAUAGCAUAUUCAGGGGGGUUUCCUGAGGGGGUUGUCCGUGUUCUCUUCCUUUUGUUUCAUAAAUCUUUUAGUUGCCAAGUGGUUGGAUAGGGCUUUAUUUAAGAGGCUGUAUCAUUUCAAUUCCAUCUUGUCUGUGCUUCCUUUGUUUUUUCUUCUGUUGUUUAGUUUCUCUACUAACUAGUGUACCAGCUAAGAGAAUUGAAAGCAUUAUGAGAUGUUUCUCAUUUUGAUAAUAGAGUGACAGAAGAGGGAUCGUAUUUUGAGUUUCAAUAAAUGCUGACUUUGCAUAUGUGAGAGGUUUAGGUCUUUGUGAUUUGGAGUCCCCAAAAAUUGCUUUGGUGGGGAAAUUUAAUUUUAGGACAUUUUCUUUGGAUUCAUAUUCCCUUCUUCAUAAGUGCAUGAGAAGUAGGUAUAGUCUCUAGUGGAAUGGUGGGAUGCGAAAAUUGAAACUAGAAUCACACAUUUUAGCCUUCGGAAAUUCAUUUCUCAAGCACAUCCAUCUUUGAACACAUUGGUUCAAUUUAAAGUUGAUAAUGUUGUUUCUUUGUUCACCUUUUAGAGGAUUUGUGGGUGGGUCAUUUUUCUUUUCCUAAGGCUUUUCCUUGUCUUCUAAUCUUCACCAAGCAGUAUAGAACCCUUUUUAUAUUGGCUUGUGUAUCAAAUCAUUUUUCUACGUUUUCUUUCUCUUUUUUAAUUAUUUAUUUUCAUUUUUCAGGAAUCUUAAUGAUUGGUAACGUCAAAUUUCUCAUGUUAUUGAGCUUUUUUAUAUUCUUUUAAUCUUUCUUUCAGAUUAGAUGAAAGGGUAUGGACUUUGGAAGAGUUCAAGAACAUUUUCAUCUGAUUGAUCAUUUCAACCUUUCUUGUUCAUAUUCCUAAUUCUUAAUGUUAUCCUCUUGCUAAUAUCAUAUGCUAGGCUAUGGCUUUUGUUUGGUAUGUGAUGAUUAAUGGAUUCAACACUCAUAUACUAAUAUCCUUUGGAGGUUCUACAAGAUUUAAAUGCCAAUUAUUGUUUUAUGUUCAUAGAGUAAUUAUUUGUUACAUAUGCUAAAUUGUUCUUGACCACUUAGCCUUAUGCCCUUGGUCUACCUUGUCUUGAUUGCUUUAAUCUCCUGUAACAUGUGUGUUUUCAAUAUUCCUCAUAGGUCAUUUGUUUAUCUACCAUGGAAAUUACCAAACCAUCUCAUUUCCCCUCCCAACUUUUCCUCAAUGAGUGCCACCUUAUUUGUUAUCUUGUUCUUUCUUGUAUUUGAUUCAUCCAUCGUGGCAUUUGUCUUUAUCGUGCUCAAUUGCAGACAUGCCUUUGUCAUUAAUCUUUGGCAUUUGUCUUUGUCAUCACCCAACAUUUGCUGACAUACAUUAUUGAUGGUAUUGUGGUUUUGUAGAAGUUUCCUGUUAUUUUAGUAGGGUUUUUUGUUGACAUAAGAUGAUAAUCACACUUUUUUUUUUAUCCUGCCUUCAUUCUACGAGUGCCGUCAUCUUUACUCAUCAUCCUUUCAUCUCAUGGACCUAGGUGUUGAGGUGAUUACUUUGUGCAAUUUAUUCUCCAUCUAGUUUAAUUCUGCUUUUCUCACUUUCACUUCCAAUUUUUAUGAUUAUAAAUGUAAUUCAUAUAUUAUGUACUAGUUCUAUUUAGUUGAAAUCCAGACUCUAGGAUAUUCCUUCAUAACUCCAGCUGCCGAUUAACCUUAAAAGGUUGAUCAGGUUUCAUCUAUCAAAACUGUUAUAAGCAAAAAGUUUGCACUGAGAAAUCAUAUUGUGUGUGUGUGCGUGUGUAUAAUCCAUGACCAGUGCAAACAGAAAAUAGCUCUAGAAAGUGUGAUAGGAAAUUUCCUGCCCCCAAAACUCCUUAUACUGAUUAUGACCUCUUCAUAAGUAUCCUUCCUGAUAUUUAUUUAUCUAAUAUAAUUUCAAUUUAAAAAUCAUGUAGCCUUUUGCUGAAAAUGGUGUGUGAUUACUUGAAAAUGAUGGGGAGUAUGCGCUGAUUAAUAUACGUUUUCAAUCGAAGUAUAAUGAUUUCUUAUUUCCUCAGAUUUUUUUAAAUAUAUCUUUAGCCUUCUUGUUGACUGAAUAUGAUUCUUACAGGGUCAAACUCUGAAAUUUAAUUGUUCAUUUGCACUCUAAAUUCAUCUUCAGUCUAGAUUCGUCUUCAAGUUUUUAUGGACAUUUCCUUUUCCCUCUCUUGCUUUCACACAAUUGCAGGUUGUCAACAAGUUUUAUAAGA